rnacentral:lncRNA from 1 species
AUGGGCUACCAACCUGAGGCGAGGGAGGGUGCAGAAUCACAACAGGUUUGCCGGCGUUUGGCACGGGUCGGAGACCCGCCCCAGGUCCACCACGAGGAGGCUCCGGCACCAGACCCUCUCUCUCUCAUUUCAUCUCAUUUUCAUUUCAUCUCAUCUCAUUCUCAUUUUCAUCUCAUCUCAUUUUCAUCUCAUCUCAUUCUCAUUUCAUCUCAUUAUCGUCUCAUUAUCGUCCCAUUUUCAUCUCAUUUUCAUUCCCUUUCAUCUCUUAUUCAUCUCAUCUCCUUUUUAUCUCUUUUUCAUCUCAUCUCCUUUUUAUCUCUUUUUCAAUAUCAUCUCCUUUUUAAAUUUUUUUCAUCUCAUCUCCUUUAUAUCUCUUUUCAUCUCAUCUCCUUUUCAUCUCCUUUUCAUCUCCUAUUCAUCUCCUUUUCAUUUCCUAUUCAUCUCCUUUCAUCUCCUUUUCAUCUCUUUUUCAUCUCCUUUUCAUAUCCUUUUCAUCUCCUUUUCAUCUCCUUUACAUCUCCUUUACAUCUCCUUUUCAUCACCUUUUCAUCUCCUUUUCAUCUCCUUUCCGUCUCCUUUUCGUCUCCUUUUCAUAUUCGUUUUAUCUCCUUUUCAUCUCCUUUUCAUCUCCUUUUCAUCUACUUUUCGUCUCUUUUUUCGUCUCUUUUUCGUCUCUUUUUCAUCUUAUCUCCUUUUCAUCUCAUUUUCAUCUCCCGUUUUCAUCUCCCGUUUUCAUCUCCCGGUUUCAUCUCCCGGUUUCAUCUCCCGUUUUCAUCUCCCGUUUUCAUCUCCCGUUUUCUUCUCCCGUUUUCAUCUCCCGUUUUCAUCUCCCGUUUUAUCUCCCGUUUUCAUCACCUUUUCAUGCCUUUUCAUCUCCUUUUCAUCUCCUUUUCAUCUCCCUUUUCAUCUCCUUUUCAUCUCCUUUUCAUCUCCUUUUCAUCUCCUUUUCGUUGCCUUUUCGUGUCCAUUUCGUGUCCUUUUCGUGUCCUUUUCGUCUCCCCUUUCGUCUCCCCUUUCGUCUCCCCGUUCGUCUCCUUUUCGUCUCCUUUUCGUCUCCUUUUCGUCUCCUAUUCGUCUCCUUUUCGUCUCUUCUUCAUCUCAUCUCCUUUUCAUCUCCGUGUCAUCUCCGUGUCAUCUCCUUUUCAUCUCCCUUUUCAUCUCCUUUUCAUCUCCUUUUCGUCUCCUUUUCGUCUCCAUUUCGUCUCCCCUUUCGUCUCCCCUUUCGUCUCCCCUUUCGUCUCCCUUUCGUCUCCCCUUUCGUCUCCCCUUUCGUCUCCCUUUCGUCUCCCCUUUCGUCUCCCUUUCGUCUCCCCUUUCGUCUCCCCUUUCGUCUCCCCUUUCGUCUCCCCUUUCGUCUCCUUUUCGUCUCCUUUUCGUCUCUUCUUCAUCUCAUCUCCUUUUCAUCUCCUUUUCAUUUACUCUCCUUCUCAUCUCAAUUUCAUCCCCUUUUUUCCUCCUUUUCAUUCAUAUCUUUUUGAUUGA